rnacentral:rRNA from 1 species
UACGUAGGGUGCAAGCGUUAUCCGGAAUUAUUGGGCGUAAAGAGCUCGUAGGCGGUUUGUCGCGUCUGCUGUGAAAACUGGAGGCUCAACCUCCAGCCUGCAGUGGGUACGGGCAGACUAGAGUGCGGUAGGGGAGAUUGGAAUUCCUGGUGUAGCGGUGGAAUGCGCAGAUAUCAGGAGGAACACCGAUGGCGAAGGCAGAUCACUGGGCCGCAACUGACGCUGAGGAGCGAAAGCAUGGGGAGCGAACAGG